AAAAAAACAGGGGUUUGUCAGUCAUGUUGGCCGAUAUUUAGUAAACUUGAAGGAUACAAUAAUGUCCAUUGGUAUUUGGUGAACCUUCUUUCUUUUGUUGUGACUGAAGGUUCAGUGAAUCAUGGAAUAUAU
rnacentral:snoRNA from 1 species